rnacentral:rRNA from 1 species
AACGAACGCUGGCGGCAGGCCUAACACAUGCAAGUCGAGCGCGCCCUUCGGGGUGAGCGGCGGACGGGUGAGUAACGCGUGGGAACGUGCCCUUUUCUACGGAAUAGCCUCGGGAAACUGAGAGUAAUACCGUAUACGCCCUUUGGGGGAAAGAUUUAUCGGAAAAGGAUCGGCCCGCGUUGGAUUAGGUAGUUGGUGGGGUAAUGGCCUACCAAGCCGACGAUCCAUAGCUGGUUUGAGAGGAUGAUCAGCCACACUGGGACUGAGACACGGCCCAGACUCCAAGGGGAGGCAGCAGGGGGAAGGCUUGCAGAGGGGGGGUCCCCCGGGUGUAGCCCUGGAGCGUGAGUGGGGAAGGCCUGAGGGGUGUAAGGCCUCUUGAGGGGGGAAGAUAAUGACGGAAGCAGGAGAAGAACCCCCGGAUAACUGCGUACGAGAAGCCGGGGGAAUAAGAGGAAGAGCACCCGUCGGCCC